rnacentral:rRNA from 1 species
GACGAACGCUGGCGGCGUGCUUAACACAUGCAAGUCGAACGGUAAGGCCCUUCGGGGUACACGAGUGGCGAACGGGUGAGUAACACGUGGGUGAUCUGCCCUGCACUUCGGGAUAAGCCUGGGAAACCGGGUCUAAUACCGGAUAGGACCCUGGGAUGCAUGUCCUGGGGUGGAAAGCUUUUGCGGUGUGGGAUGGGCCCGCGGCCUAUCAGCUUGUUGGUGGGGUGAUGGCCUACCAAGGCGACGACGGGUAGCCGGCCUGAGAGGGGGACCGGCCACACUGGGACUAGGAGACGGCCCAGACUCCUACGGGAGGCAGCAGUGGGGAAUAUUGCACAAUGGGCGCAAGCCUGAUGCAGCGACGCCGCGUGAGGGAUGACGGCCUUCGGGUUGUAAACCUCUUUCAGCACCGACGAAGCGCAAGUGACGGUAGGUGCAGAAGAAGGACCGGCCAACUACGUGCCAGCCGCCGCCGUAA